rnacentral:rRNA from 1 species
CAGUAGUGAUAUGCUUGCCUCAAGGGUUAAGCCAUGCAUGUCUAAGUAUAAACAUUUUAUAUGUGAAACUGCGUACGGCUCAUUAUAUCAGCAAUUAUUAAUUUGAUGGUACUUACUACUUGGAUAUCCGUAGUAAUUCUAGAGAGCUAAUACAUGCGUAAAGUCCGAUUAUCCUUUUGGAGAUAUUGGAUGUAUUUAUUAGAUACAAAACUAAUGUGUUCCUUAAUUGGAACUCCAUUGUGAUGAUUUCUAGCAACUGUUUCAAAUCACAUGUCUUUGUACCGGUGAUAUUUCAUUCAAAUUUCUGCCCUAUCAGCUUGACGGUAGUGUAGGGGACUACCGUGGCGUUAACGGGUAACGGGGAAUUAGUGUUCGAUUCCGGAGAGGGAGCCUGAGAAAUGGCUACCACAUCCAAGGAAGGCAGCAGGCGCGUAAAUUACCCAAUCCCGACACAGGGAGGUAGUGACAAGAAGUAUCAACAUUGGGCCUCUUUAGGUCUGGUGAUUGGAAUGAGUACAAUUUAAAUCUCUUAACGAGGAUCAAUGUGGAGGGCAAGUCUGGUGCCAGCAGCCGCGGUAAUUCCAGCUCCGCUAGCGUAUUUUAAGGUUGCUGCAGUUAAAAAGCUCGUAGUUGGAUUUCUGGUAUGAUACGCCUGACCCGCGUUUGUAAAAAUGUGAGUGUUUUGGCGAGUCAGCCAUCCUUAUCUCUGACCUGAUUCACUACCCUUUAUUGGGCAUGUGAAGCAUAAACUGAUUCGAUUACUGUGAAAAAAUGAAAGCGCUCAAAGCAGGCAUUAGCCUUGAAUCUAUCAGCAUGGAAUAAUAUUAUAGGACAUCUGUUCUAUUUUGUUGGUUUCUCGAAUUGAUGUAAUGAUUGAUAGGGAUAGUUGGGGGUGCUAGUAUUCAGUGGCCAGCGGUGAAAAGCUUGGAUUCUCUGAAGACUACCUACUGCGAAAGCAUUCACCAAGGAUAUCUUCUUUAAUCAAGAACGAAAGUUAGGGGAUCGAAAACGAUCAGAUACCGUUGUAGUCCUAACCGUAAACUUUGCCGGCUGGGUGUUGGUGAAUGUUGCCAAACUGCCGACAUCCUCAGGGCCCAAAGGGAAACCGUAAGCGUCUGGGUUCCGGGGGUAGUAUGGUCGCAAGUCUGAAACUCAAAGGAAUUGACGGAAGGGCACCACCAGGAGUGGAGCCUGCGGCUUAAUUUGACUCAACUCGGGUAAACUUACCAGGUCCAGACAUAGUGAGGAUUGACAGAUUAAAGAUCUUUCUUGAUUCUAUGGGUAGUGGUGCAUGGCCGUUCUUAGUUGGUGGAGUAAUUUGUCUGGUUAAUUCCGUUAACGAACGAGACCUUGACCUGCUAAAUAGUUCGAAGAAUCUUUCGAGAUUCGUUUUCGCAACUUCUUAGAGGGACUGCCGGUUCUUUUUAAAGCCGGAGGAAGUAACAAGGCAAUAACAGGUCUGUGAUGCCCUUAGAUGUUCUGGGCCGCACGCGCGCUACAAUCAACCGUCCCACAUGAUAGACUUCCAUCGCUGAGAGGGUGUUGGAAAUCCGAGAACGCGGUUUGGUGUUGUGGGGAUAGAUGAUUGAAAUUAUUCAUCUUCAACGAGGAAUUCCUUGUAAACUCAAGUAAACAUCUUGGAUUGAAUACGUCCCUGCCCUUUGUACACACCGCCCGUCGCUACUACCGAUUGACUUGCCAAGUGAGCUGUACGGAUCACUAAACUAUGUGAAUUAAUUUUUGCUUGUUGGUUUAAAGUGUCGCGAACUUGGUUAGUUAGAGGAAGUAAAAGUCGUAACAAGGUUUCCGUAGGUGAACCUGGCAGA